UGGCGGACGGGUGAGUAACGCGUGAGCAACCUGCCUUUCANACGGGGGAUAACGUUUGGAAACGAACGCUAAUACCGCAUGAGACUACAGUACUACAUGGUACAGUGGCCAAAGGAGCAAUCCGCUGAAAGAUGGGCUCGCGUCCGAUUAGAUAGUUGGCGGGGUAACGGCCCACCAAGUCGACGAUCGGUAGCCGGACUGAGAGGUUGAACGGCCACAUUGGGACUGAGACACGGCCCAGACUCCUACGGGAGGCAGCAG
rnacentral:rRNA from 1 species